rnacentral:lncRNA from 1 species
UUUAAUUAAAUAGAUACGAUUAAUCUUUAGAAAAAUACCUAUCUUUCCUCGGCACACUCCGUACCCGUAGAUCACGGCGUGUCUCCAGAAAUUACUAGGUAAACAACUCUUCUUUCCUCGGCACGCCCCGUACCCGUAGAUCACGGUGUAUCUUCGAAAAGUAAAAGUUGUUCCUAAUAUUAAUCUAACAGGAAAGCAUAAAUAAAAGCAGAUGAAAGAUAGCAAAUAAAGAACUCAUGACGAUUUAAAUAAAAAGCAUAAUCUUUAUUGCAUAUAAAGAAAUACAAGAAAGUUUAGAACAAUAAACCAUUUCUGUGUCGUUACAAAAUUUCUUCUCCACUCCCGAAACUGCUAGCCUAGCUGCUCAUGAAGUAGUCCCUUUCUAUUCCUCUAUGCAAGGCUCUAGAAGAAUUUCUGGGCUCCCCUUCCAAUGGAAGUACAAAAGCCUUUUUAUAGGUGUUAGGAGGGAGGAGUUUUAUAUGGUUUCCGAUGUGGGACUAAAAAAAAUGCUAAGGACUAAAAGAUCACAAACAGAUAAAGAAAAUACAAAUCUUUCCUCUUAAAAUAUUUUCAAAUAUUAAUUUUUUUUCUUUAAUGAGCAUCUGUUCGUCUGUUCGCGUCUGCCUGCCGUGCGCCCGCACCUGCACCCCCGCGACGCCGCGUCUGCACACGCCCGCGUUGCGCCUGCAUGAGCCUUCUGCGCCUCACGCAUGCGUUAACGCUUCAAAAAGAAACUUUUUUAUUCCAAAAAAAAAUUUUAUUUCUUUACAAUUACAUCUAUAUCCUUUUGGAUUCAUUGCAUAGUAUCUUCAUUUUCUAUAAUACCGUAUGCAUCCUUCUUUUAUUUUAAUUUUAUUUUAAGUCUAAUUUUCUUCAAACUUGAGUCUUUUUGAUCUAUGAAUCGGACUCUUUGUAUCGGCGAUCAUCUUUCCUGUAAAACAUAAAAAGAAGCAUCAAAUUCUUAAUAAAUAAAAUAAAUUAAAUAUGAUUUUCUGCUUUAAAUGACUUAAAUUAAGUGUUUAUCACACCCUCCAACUUGGAUUUUGCUCGUCCUCGAGUAAAAUAGAUAUAUCAGUAUUGUGUACCGACUCGGUCUUGAAUCAAAAGUUAGGUUAGGCAUCCCAAAAGGUAGAUGAUACCUGAUCAGACCAUUAAAGAGAUACUUCAUUGGAUUAUUAAUUUGACCCAAU